rnacentral:rRNA from 1 species
GAUGAACGCUAGCGACAGGCUUAACACAUGCAAGUCGAGGGGCAGCGGGGGUAGCAAUACCCGCCGGCGACCGGCGCACGGGUGAGUAACGCGUAUGCAACUUACCUAUCAGAGGGGGAUAACCCGGCGAAAGUCGGACUAAUACCGCAUGAAGCAGGGGCCCCGCAUGGGGAUAUUUGCUAAAGAUUCAUCGCUGAUAGAUAGGCAUGCGUUCCAUUAGGCAGUUGGCGGGGUAACGGCCCACCAAACCGACGAUGGAUAGGGGUUCUGAGAGGAAGGUCCCCCACAUUGGUACUGAGACACGGACCAAACUCCUACGGGAGGCAGCAGUGAGGAAUAUUGGUCAAUGGGCGCGAGCCUGAACCAGCCAAGUCGCGUGAGGGAUGAAGGUUCUAUGGAUCGUAAACCUCUUUUAUAAGGGAAUAAAGUGCGGGACGUGUCCUGUUUUGUAUGUACCUUAUGAAUAAGGAUCGGCUAACUCCGUGCCAGCCGCCGCAGUAA